rnacentral:rRNA from 1 species
UAACAAUGAUUUCCCUAGUAACGGCGAGUGAAGAGGAAAGAGCUCAAAGUUGGAACCUGUUUGGCUUAGCUAAACCGGAUUGUAAACUGUAGAAACAUUUUCCAGGCACGCUAGACAAAAAAGUCCUUUGGAACAGGGCAUCAUAGAGGGUGAGAAUCCCGUCUUAAUCUAAGUAGUUGUCUAUUUGUGAUAUGUUUUCAAAGAGUCAGGUUGUUUGGGAAUGCAGCCUAAAUUGGGUGGUAAAUCUCACCUAAAGCUAAAUAUUUGCGAGAGACCGAUAGCGAACAAGUACCGUGAGGGAAAGAUGAAAAGAACUUUGAAAAGAGAGUUAAACAGUAUGUGAAAUUGUUAAAAGGGAACCGGUUGGAGCCAGACUGGCUUGACUGUAAUCAUCCUACUUUUUUUGUGGGUGCACUUGCGGUCUUUGCCUGCCAACAACAGUUUGAUUUGGAGGAAAAAAAUAUUUGGAAUGUGGCCUUUUUCGGAAGGUGUUAUAGCCUUUUAUAUCAUACUCUGGAUUGGACUGAGGAUCGCAGUUAUUGUUUCCGCUUGUUUUUCUUUUGCUGAUAAAUGUUAAAAUUUCUGCUUAGGGUGGUGUUAAUGUUUAAAGGUAAAACUAGGAUGAGUAUUGUGAUAACUUAGGUUGUUGGCUUAAUGACUCUAAAUGA